AUUCGUAAUCUUUUAUUCAAAGAAUACAAAAGAAUACAAGGUGAUUUUCGUAGAAUGGCUCAAAAAAUCUUCUUGUGCAUUCUUUUCGUAGCAGUGCUAUUGGCUUCAGAAGCAACAAGUGGCACAAUAAUGGUUGAAGGCGAAAGGAAGGUGUGCGCCAAGAGUAAAGGAAAAUGUCCAGAUAACAAUGCCGCUUGCUUUGAAGACUGUGUAGAAAGGAAUUACGUCGAUGGCCAUUGUGAGGGCUUCAAUUGUUGCUGUUUCAGUCA